rnacentral:misc_RNA from 1 species
GAACUGCGAUAAGUAAUGUGAAUUGCAGAAUUCAGUGAAUCUUCGAGUCUUUGAACGCACAUUGCGCCCCCUGGCAUUCCGGGGGGCAUGCCUGUCCGAGCGUCAUUGCUGCCCUUCAAGCCCGGCUUGUGUGUUGGGUCGUCGUCCCCUCCGGGGGACGGGCCCGAAAGGCAGCGGCGGCACCGCGUCCGGUCCUCGAGCGUAUGGGGCUUUGUCACCCGCUCGAUAAGGACCGGCCGGGCGCCAGCCGGCGUCUCCAACCUUUUUUUCUCAGGUUGACCUCGGAUCAGGUAGGGAUACCCGCUGAACUUAAGC